rnacentral:rRNA from 1 species
UACGAAGGGGGCUAGCGUUGCUCGGAAUUACGUGGGACGUAAAGGGCGCGUAGGCGGCACUGUUAGUCAGGCGUGAAAGUCCUGGGCUCAACCUGGGAACUGCGCUUGAUACGGCAGAGCUAGAGGAUGGAAGAGGGUCGCGGAAUUCCCAGUGUAGAGGUGAAAAUUCGUAGAUAUUGGGAAGAACACCGGUGGCGAAGGCGGCGACCUGGUCCAUUACUGGAGCUGAGGCGCGACGCGUGGG